AAGGGCGAAUUCGCCCUUAGAGUUUGAUCCUGGCUCAGAGCGAACGCUGGCGGCGUGCUUAACACAUGCAAGUCGAGUGCGCAGCUUUCUGUAGCAAUACAGGGAGUGGGCGCACGGCGCACGGGUGCGUAACACGUGGGCAACCUGCCCUUGGAUGGGGAAUAACCCCGCGAAAGCGGGGCUAAUACCGCAUAACAUUCCUGGAACCCUGGUUUCGGGACUCAAAGCCGUAAGGCGUCCGAGGAGUGGCCCGCGCACGAUUAGCUAGUUGGCGAGGUAACGGCUCACCAAGGCGAUGAUCGUUAGCCGGUCUGAGAGGAUGACCGGCCACACUGGAACUGAGACACGGUCCAGACUCCUACGGGAGGCAGCAGUGGGGAAUAUUGCGCAAUGGGCGAAAGCCUGACGCAGCGACGCCGCGUGGGGGAUGAAGCUUCUCGGAGUGUAAACCCCUUUCGACCCGGACGAAUGCCCCGCAAGGGGAGGGACGGUACGGGUAUAAGAAGCCCCGGCUAACUACGUGCCAGCAGCCGCGGUAAUACGUAGGGGGCCAGCGUUGCUCGGAAUAACUGGGCGUAAAGGGUUCGUAGGCGGUGCGGAAAGUUGGGAGUGAAAUCUCUGGGCUUAACUCAGAGACUGCUUUCAAAACUUUCCGUGCUCGAGUGCGAGAGAGGCAGUGGAAUUGCAGGUGUAGCGGUGAAAUGCGUAGAUAUCUGCAGGACACCCGUGCGAAGGCGGCUUGCUGGAUCGCAACUGACGCUGAGGACGAAAGCUAGGGGAGCAAACAGGAUUAGAUACCCUGG
rnacentral:rRNA from 1 species